CCCAAAGUUAAGUGCAUGGACUCCGAAGUGCGCAUUUGAAGUGCGAAUGCGUCACAGUGGCGCGACGAAGGGUGUCCCAAACUGAAGUGUGUGGACUCCGAAGUGCGGAUGUGAAGUGCGAUUGCGUCACAGCGUCACGACGUAAGCUGUCCCAAAGUCAGAAUGUGCACUUCGAAGACCGCAUUUGAAGUGCGAAUGCGUCACCGUGGCGCGACGAAGACUGACGAGUUUCGAAAGCGACUUCAAAUGCGCCCUUCAUUUCCCAUGAAAAUGAAGUGUACAUCUAAUGGACACUUCGCACCCUUCCAUAUCCCAGAAUCACUUGCGCGCAUAUGACGAAGGUGUUUAUAUUCAGAGGCAGGUGAGAGUUCUGUGGAGAACUUCACAUUGAAAUGCAUGGUUUAUUUGUGAAGUGUCCUGAGACAGGUGAGGGAGCGAGUGGACAGGGAGGACAUCAAACUCAAACAAAUACAUUCUGCAUUAGCCAAGAGAAAACAGUGGGGAAAAAAUGAGUACAUUACAGUUUUUCCAAUAUAUUUUUUAAAUGUUAUAUUGUCAAUGAAACAACCUAAUUUCUGUAGUUUAUUUUUUUGACGCAAGUUAAAAAUGAAAUGCAUAAAUUGUAUACAUUAUUAAUUUUUAGUGUGUCAUUUAUUCGUAUAUAAGCCUGAGUACUUUCUGUACAUUUUGUAUUUUUGUUUUGCAUAUUCACAUGUGUAAAUAAAAGAAAAGUGCUUAUGUACAUUGUUAAUUUUUUUUUAAUGUAGCUUAUAAUUUUUUUUCACAAAACAUUAUUUUAUAUGUUUAUUUGUUUGUCCUGUAAAUACUUUUUUACACAUUAAAACAAAUUGUUCUAUACAUAACAGAAAGUACUUUUUACAACCAUUUACAACAUAGCUUAGGUUUAACAUCAGAAAACAACAUCAGUUUGAGCCCGGCCCAGCCUCCAUGAGUUCUGGGGUCUUCGGGAGGUCAAUCUCUUGGUGAAUGGCCAGCACCUCCUCAGAGACUCAGAGGACAGUGCGGUGGACAGUGGAACGAGG
ensembl:lncRNA